GCAGCUUCCUGCCGAGCACCGCGCAGCCGCCUCCGCCGCGGAAGCCCCGGGUGCAGGCCUCGGCGGCGCCGGUGCGGGCCCCGGGCUCAGCCGCGCGCGCCCCCGCGGGGCCCCGGCCGCCCGACCGCACGAUGCGCGCCGCGCCGCCGCCCGCGCCGCUCCUGCCGGGGCUGCUGCUGCUCGCGCUCCUGGCCGCGCCCGCCGCCCGCGCCCACCGAGCCGAGUCCGCCCCGGCGCCGCAGCCCGAGCCCGAGCCCGAGCGCCGAGCGCGGCCGUCGCCCGGCCCGGGGCCCGGGAACGCCACGCGGACGGGGUCUGCGGCGCCGGCGGGCGGCGGCGGCAGCUCCGACAGCGGCGGCGACGCCCUGGUGACCCGCAUCUCCAGCCUGCUCCGCGACCUGCCCACCCUGAAGGCGGCCGUGAUAGUGGCGUGCGCCUUCACCGCGCUGCUCAUCGCCUGCUUGCUGGGGCGCGUCUUCAGGUCGGGAAAGAGGUUGAGGAAGACCCGCAAGUAUGACAUCAUCACUACUCCAGCUGAACGCGUGGAAAUGGCCCCACUGAAUGAGGAGGAUGACGAGGAUGAGGACUCCACAGUAUUUGACAUCAAAUACAGAAGUAGGACUGUGUUACACAUGCUGUUUUGGAAUCGUUUCCCACCUGAACGACACAUUACAAACAACUUUAUAGAGGACGGUGAUGGGUCUGACCUCGCAGAUUUUCCCUCCUUUCCUGAGUCUCUUUGGAUGAUGUCUUGAAUGGAUUUAGUUUUCAAGCUUUCUUUCAUUCACUGCACAAAUGUUCCUUGCACCCGCUACGUUGCCUGGUACCAUGCACUUGGUGCUGGGGGUUUGAAGGUAAAAUCUAUUUCCAGCAUGUGGGCAUCCUGUGGAAUGUUGGUCAGCUGCAGCCUGGGGUGUGAAGGAUCUGGAAGCUGUCUCGUCUGAGGUGUUGAAACCAAAACAAACAUUGUUGUUGAAACUCUGACACCCUUGCGUGUGUCAAACGACAGCUCCGAAUGUUACUGCAGGAGAGUCGCCUCUACCACCCUCUGGAUGCCCCUUUAAAAUGUCACCCUUUUCUCCUCAAGAGGGCUUUUGCCUUGCUAAGGGACAGGGGUAGAAACAUUUUGACUUAAAAAAAAUAAUUUUAAGGUAACUGUUGACAAAAGUAAAGAGUAAAGUUCAGAAGUUAACAGGAACCUAAAAAACGCAAAAGCCUAAAGGAUAUUCAACUUAUAAUCUCUGACAUUCUGCUCUCCUGGAUCUACGACAUUCUAGACGUCUGACCUUUUGGUGGUCUUUUGGGCUUGGUCAAAUUCUGGUCUGCUUUUGGUGACGGCUGUGCAAAAGUUCAAAGUGGAAAUGUUGAGAACUGGCAGCCCUAGCAGAAGUGUAACUGGUGUUUCUGGCUCCUUUUUCCUUUUUUAAAAAAAGGGUUCAGCAGAAUCAGGUGUAGCUAGUUCACAAAGAAUUCUGAGCAUCAGGGAAAAACCUAUAUGUGCAGGUGUGUGUGUGUGUGUGUGUGUGUACGUACACAUAGAAUCAUUUCUCCUUUUUUGGGGGGAAGAAGCAGUACAAGGCAGCCUUUGGUUAGGAACAUCCUCCGUGUUUCUCUGCCCUGUUCUACACUGUUGCUCUUGGAAAUGUAAUUUUAAAAAAUCACCGUGGUGAUUCAGAUGAAUGGGGAUUGGGCUGGCUGGAAAAGGCACAGGGUCGGGGACCGGGUUUGAAGUUGGGUCUAGGCCAGGCUGGACUGGGAACCCUGCGGGACCCAGGAGGUUACCGCAGCAAGGCCCCUCCCGCAGGUGUGGUUUGGGGGUCGUGGCUUGUUUCAGAGCUUGCAUGCCCAGAUGUCUGCUGGCUUCCAGAAGCAGGGCUGACUUCUCGGGGUUGAUGGAGACCUCGCAUUUUGCUGUUUCCUGGGGGUUGAGAUUAUCUGCUAAAACCAAGCAGCUUCUGCUAAAGCUCUGUUAGCAGUGCCUUUGGGGCCCUGGGACUCUGUUCUUUCUGGAGAGGGGUUUUGCUUUUCUUUUUCUUCUUCUUCUUUUUUUUAAUCCCCUCUUUUCUGUUCUGGCAUUCUGCAAGGUUUGUGCGUUUGCCGGUGGAUGCCUGCCCGUUGGCUUUGGAUGAAAACUCUAGCCUUUGCUGACCCACCUGUUCUCAGAUUCUUCAGUUUCCUGAGAAGGGCAGUCAGUGCGGCGGGGUCUGGGGGGGCCCCCGGGUUCCCGAGUCCCUGGCUGUUGGGAAGGCACGCUGGCCUCUGCAGGACAGAGGGGUGCCCAGGGAGAUGGCUUGGGGAGGAGCGCACCUUACAAGCAGCUGUCCCUCCACUCCCUCUGGCUCAUGGGUGGGUUCUCUUUCCCUUCUGCUCUCCUCCGCCCUGUUUGCCCGAGGCGCGGGCCUGCUUUACCUCUCCCCUCCACCGGGGACUCAUGGGCCAGAGUGGUGACUCAGUGGGACCUGGGCGCCCUCCGAAACUUGGAACUGGAAUCCUGUGUGUGGGGCGAAAGCCCAGUGCUUCUGCCUUACACAUCAACACCGGGGCCACCUGCCGGGUGCUUUCCGCUGGGCCUGGCAGACGGGGCGGCCACCAAGAGUGACCUUCCAAGUCCCAGAGCUUCAGCACCGUGUGCUCCUAAAUAAAACCCUUUCGGCAUGAGCCA